UACGGGGGGGCAAGCGUUGUUCGGAAUUACUGGGCGUAAAGGGCUCGUAGGCGGCCAACUAAGUCGGACGUGAAAUCCCCAGGCUCAACCUGGGAACUGCGUCCGAUACUGGAUGGCUUGAAUCCGGGAGAGGGAUGCAGAAUUCCAGGUGUAGCGGUGAAAUGCGUAGAUAUCUGGAGGAAUACCGGUGGCGAAGGCGGCAUCCUGGACCGGCAUUGACGCUGAGGAGCGAAAGCCAGGGGAGCAAAGC
rnacentral:rRNA from 1 species